AACGAACGCUGGCGGCAGGCCUAACACAUGCAAGUCGAGCGAGGACUUCGGUCCUAGCGGCGGACGGGUGAGUAACGCGUGGGAACGUGCCCUUUGCUUCGGAAUAGCCCUGGGAAACUGGGAGUAAUACCGGAUGAGCCCUUUGGGGGAAAGAUUUAUCGGCGAAGGAUCGGCCCGCGUUGGAUUAGGUAGUUGGUGGGGUAAUGGCCUACCAAGCCGACGAUCCAUAGCUGGUUUGAGAGGAUGAUCAGCCACACCGGGACUGAGACACGGCCCAGACUCCUACGGGAGGCAGCAGUGGGGAAUCUUAGACAAUGGGGGAAACCCUGAUCUAGCCAUGCCGCGUGAGCGAUGAAGGCCUUAGGGUUGUAAAGCUCUUUCAGCUGGGAAGAUAAUGACGGUACCAGCAGAAGAAGCCCCGGCUAACUCCGUG
rnacentral:rRNA from 1 species